CCCUUAGAAUACUCAAAUUCAAACAUUUCACUGUUCUGCCAUGAGGUUCACAUAUUAUUGUUUCUUAGAAAUAUAGAAGGCCAGGAUAAUAUCGUAUUACCACUCGAUAGGCUGCAUAAUAUUUUCAAUUUAGGUGAGCAGCCAUUCCUACCACGCUAAGUUACAGUACAACAAUAAAUAAAACUAACCUGCCCAAAACCAGAACCAGGAACGACAACAACUCCUGUGGCAUUGAGAAGGCGGCGACAGUAGAAUGCAUCUGGGGCUGUCUUUGCAGCCUCCGCUGCUUUAAUUGCCUUUUGAGGCAGGUUUAUGCAGGGAAAGAGAUACAUU